rnacentral:lncRNA from 1 species
GAGGACCCGCGCUGUGCCCCGCUACUGCUACUUUUGCUGCUACCGCUGCUGCUCACACCGCCCGCCGGAGAUGCCGCGGUCAUCACCGGGGCUUGCGACAAGGACUCUCAGUGUGGAGGAGGAAUGUGCUGCGCUGUCAGUAUCUGGGUUAAGAGCAUAAGGAUCUGCACACCUAUGGGCCAAGUGGGAGACAGCUGCCACCCCCUGACUCGGAAAGUUAGUGUCUGCGCUGGGACUCCGGGUGUACCGCUCUGCUGGGCAAGGCCUGUAUGACAAAAGGCUUGGCUAGUUCACUUGAAACAGAGAUCAGAGGACAGUACAGCGAGGAUGCACCUAUUUCUUUCUUCUCUCCCCUUCCACUCCAGUGGUCAUCUUUAUACCAUUGCUCUCCUGCCAUUAAAAAUAACCUUACAUCAACACAAUUGAAUGUGCUUUGUAAAAUCAGAGUUCUUAAAAAGACUGUAUGCUCAACCAGCUGAUGGAGCAGAAGUCAGUCAGCUUUGCUGAUUUUGUUUGUUUUUUUUUUCAGACAAUCACCAAUAACAAACACACUUACUCUUCAUGUCUUAAACUCCGUUUUGUUGGUGUUUGUUUUUGAGACAGCUUCUCCUGUUGUCCAGGCUGCCCUUGAACUCCUGAUUCUACUUUCUCCACCGCACUUCCCCAUUCUCCGCCCCUCACUGAGUGCUGGGUUUGCACCACAGUGCCCAGUUAAAGUUGUGUAUUUUGCUUCUGUACCUGUGAAAUAUGAUUUUCAUAACUUUUGGAGAUCCAUGGCAUUAAAUUUUCUAGUGUGAUUGC